rnacentral:rRNA from 1 species
UACGAGGGGGGCGAGCGUUGUUCGGAAUUAUUGGGCGUAAAGGGCGCGUAGGCGGUGCGGUAAGUCACCUGUGAAAUCUCCCGGCUCAACUGGGAGCCUGCAGGCGAAACUGCCGUGCUGGAGUAUGGGAGAGGUGCGUGGAAUUCCCGGUGUAGCGGUGAAAUGCGUAGAUAUAGGAAGGAACACCAGUGGCGAAGGCGACCACCUGGACUGAUACUGACACUGAGGUGCGAAAGCGUGGGGAGCAAACAGG